UACGUAGGGGGCAAGCGUUAUCCGGAUUUACUGGGUGUAAAGGGAGCGUAGACGGUGCAGCAAGUCUGAUGUGAAAGGUCGGGGCCCAACCCCGGGACUGCAUUGGAAACUGUUGAACUGGAGUACAGGAGAGGUAAGCGGAAUUCCUAGUGUAGCGGUGAAAUGCGUAGAUAUUAGGAGGAACACCAGUGGCGAAGGCGGCUUACUGGACUGUAACUGACGUUGAGGCUCGAAAGCGUGGGGAGCAAACA
rnacentral:rRNA from 1 species